rnacentral:rRNA from 1 species
UACAGAGGGUGCGAGCGUUGUCCGGAAUCACUGGGCGUAAAGGGCGCGUAGGUGGCGACCCAAGUCGAUGGUGAAAGCUCGCCGCUCAACGGCGAGUCGGCCACCGAUACUGGGUUGCUGGAGCACUGUAGAGGCAGAUGGAAUUCCGGGUGUAGCGGUGGAAUGCGUAGAGAGUCCGGAAGAACACCGGUGGCGAAGGCGGUCUGCUGGGCAGUUGCUGACACUGGAGGCGCGACAGCGUGGGGAGCAAACAGG